ACUGUAAUAUGGAGCCAGAACAGACGCUUUCGCCAUUGGUCAGGAAGGCAUCGGGGGCGGUUUCAUCCGCUCGUCUUUGAUUCUGAUUGGUUCCCUGGUUGUCUCUCCCCACGCUUCUGAUAGCAGCGGUACGCGCUGAUUGGUCAGAUGGCGCAAAGGCAAACAGCGUGUUCUGAUCGCAGGCUUCACUUACUCAGACAUCUACAGUGAUGAUGAUGAGCGGUUUCCAUACAAUAUAACAGUAAGUUUGUGGGAAACAGAGGCAAAAUGAAGCCUAACAAGCACAAAGCAACACAUUCAGCUGAAAAGGAAUUUGGAGGUGCUCUUGGUGCCACCUGCAUCCCUGUGUUCCUGCCUCUGACGGUUCUGUACCUGCUGAGUGUGUGUCGGUCUCCAGCAGCCAGUGUCCUGCAGUGGCCUCCUCAUUUACCCCCCGCAGCACAGUUAUGGGACCCUUUGGCCGCGGUUCUGGUUGUAGGUUGGAUCACCUUGCAGAGUUUUCUCUAUCUACUGCCCAUAGGGAAGGUUUCUGAAGGAU